rnacentral:rRNA from 1 species
UGGGGAAUAUUGCACAAUGGGCGCAAGCCUGAUGCAGCCAUGCCGCGUGUAUGAAGAAGGCCUUCGGGUUGUAAAGUACUUUCAGCGAGGAGGAAGGCGUUGUGGUUAAUAACCGCAGCGAUUGACGUUACUCGCAGAAGAAGCACCGGCUAACUCCGUGCCAGCAGCCGCGGUAAUACGGAGGGUGCAAGCGUUAAUCGGAAUUACUGGGCGUAAAGCGCACGCAGGCGGUCUGUCAAGUCGGAUGUGAAAUCCCCGGGCUCAACCUGGGAACUGCAUCCGAAACUGGCAGGCUAGAGUCUUGUAGAGGGGGGUAGAAUUCCAGGUGUAGCGGUGAAAUGCGUAGAGAUCUGGAGGAAUACCGGUGGCGAAGGCGUCCCCCUGGACAAAGACUGACGCUCAGGUGCGAAAGCGUGGGGAGCAAACA